AUUGAACGCUGGCGGCAGGCCUAACACAUGCAAGUCGAACGGUAACAGGAAGAAGCUUGCUUCUUUGCUGACGAGUGGCGGACGGGUGAGCAAUGUCUGGGAAACUGCCUGGUGGAGGGGGUUAACUACUGGAAACGGUAGCUAAUACCGCAUAACGUCGCAAGACCAAAGAGGGGGACCUUCGGGCCUCUUGCCAUCGGAUGUGCCCAGGUGGGAUUAGCUAGUAGGUGGGGUAACGGCUCACCUAGGCGACGAUCCCUAGCUGGUCUGAGAGGAUGACCAGCCACACUGGAACUGAGACACGGUCCAGACUCCUACGGGAGGCAGCAGUGGGGAAUAUUGCACAAUGGGCGCAAGCCUGAUGCAGCCAUGCCGCGUGUAUGAAGAAGGCCUUCGGAUUGUAAAGUACUUUCAGCGGGGAGGAAGGGAGUAAAGUUAAUACCUUUGCUCAUUGACGUUACCCACAGAAGAAGCACCGGCUAACUCCGUG
rnacentral:rRNA from 1 species